rnacentral:rRNA from 1 species
UAGGGAAUCUUCGGCAAUGGACGAAAGUCUGACCGAGCAACGCCGCGUGAGUGAAGAAGGCUUUCGGAUCGUAAAACUCUGUUGUUAGAGAAGAACAAGGACGUUAGUAACUGAACGUCCCCUGACGGUAUCUAACCAGAAAGCCACGGCUAACUACGUGCCAGCAGCCGCGGUAAUACUUAUGUGGCAAGCGUUGUCCGGAUUUAUUGGGCGUAAAGCGAGCGCAGGCGGUUUCUUAAGUCUGAUGUGAAAGCCCCCGGCUCAACCGGGGAGGGUCAUUAGAAACUGGGAGACUUGAGUGCAGAAGAGGAGAGUGGAAUUCCAUGGGUAGCGGUGAAAUGCGUAGAGAUAUGGAGGAACACCAGUGGCGAAGGCGGCUCUCUGGUCUGUAACUGAAGCUGAGGCUCGAAAGCGUGGGGAGCAAACAGG